UGAGUUUGAUCCUGGCUCAGGACGAACGCUGGCGGCGUGCUUAACACAUGCAAGUCGAACGGAAAGGCCCUGCUUUUGUGGGGUGCUCGAGUGGCGAACGGGUGAGUAACACGUGAGUAACCUGCCCUUGACUUUGGGAUAACUUCAGGAAACUGGGGCUAAUACCGGAUAGGAGCUCCUGCUGCAUGGUGGGGGUUGGAAAGUUUCGGCGGUUGGGGAUGGACUCGCGGCUUAUCAGCUUGUUGGUGGGGUAGUGGCUUACCAAGGCUUUGACGGGUAGCCGGCCUGAGAGGGUGACCGGCCACAUUGGGACUGAGAUACGGCCCAGACUCCUACGGGAGGCAGCAGUGGGGAAUAUUGCACAAUGGGCGGAAGCCUGAUGCAGCAACGCCGCGUGCGGGAUGACGGCCUUCGGGUUGUAAACCGCUUUCGCCUGUGACGAAGCGUGAGUGACGGUAAUGGGUAAAGAAGCACCGGCUAACUACGUGCCAGCAGCCGCGGUGAUACGUAGGGUGCGAGCGUUGUCCGGAUUUAUUGGGCGUAAAGGGCUCGUAGGUGGUUGAUCGCGUCGGAAGUGUAAUCUUGGGGCUUAACCCUGAGCGUGCUUUCGAUACGGGUUGACUUGAGGAAGGUAGGGGAGAAUGGAAUUCCUGGUGGAGCGGUGGAAUGCGCAGAUAUCAGGAGGAACACCAGUGGCGAAGGCGGUUCUCUGGGCCUUUCCUGACGCUGAGGAGCGAAAGCGUGGGGAGCGAACAGGCUUAGAUACCCUGGUAGUCCACGCUGUAAACGGUGGGUACUAGGUGUGGGGUCCAUUCCACGGGUUCCGUGCCGUAGCUAACGCUUUAAGUACCCCGCCUGGGGAGUACGGCCGCAAGGCUAAAACUCAAAGGAAUUGACGGGGCCCCGCACAAGCGGCGGAGCAUGCGGAUUAAUUCGAUGCAACGCGUAGAACCUUACCUGGGUUUGACAUGGAUCGGGAGUGCUCAGAGAUGGGUGUGCCUCUUUUGGGGUCGGUUCACAGGUGGUGCAUGGCUGUCGUCAGCUCGUGUCGUGAGAUGUUGGGUUAAGUCCCGCAACGAGCGCAACCCUUGUUCACUGUUGCCAGCACGUUAUGGUGGGGACUCAGUGGAGACCGCCGGGGUCAACUCGGAGGAAGGUGGGGAUGACGUCAAGUCAUCAUGCCCCUUAUGUCCAGGGCUUCACGCAUGCUACAAUGGCUGGUACAGAGAGUGGCGAGCCUGUGAGGGUGAGCGAAUCUCGGAAAGCCGGUCUCAGUUCGGAUUGGGGUCUGCAACUCGACCUCAUGAAGUCGGAGUCGCUAGUAAUCGCAGAUCAGCAACGCUGCGGUGAAUACGUUCCCGGGGCUUGUACACACCGCCCGUCAAGUCAUGAAAGUUGGUAACACCCGAAGCCGGUGGCCUAACCGUUGUGGGGGAGCCGUCGAAGGUGGGACUGGUGAUUAGGACUAAGUCGUAACAAGGUAACCA
rnacentral:rRNA from 1 species